UACAGAGGGGGCAAGCGUUGUUCGGAAUUACUGGGCGUAAAGGGCGCGUAGGCGGCCAACUAAGUCAGACGUGAAAUCCCUCGGCUCAACCGGGGAACUGCGUCUGAUACUGGAUGGCUUGAGAUUGGGAGAGGGAUGCGGAAUUCCAGGUGUAGCGGUGAAAUGCGUAGAUAUCUGGAGGAACACCGGUGGCGAAGGCGGCAUCCUGGACCAACACUGACGCUGAUGAGCGAAAGCCAGGGGAGCAAACGGG
rnacentral:rRNA from 1 species